rnacentral:rRNA from 1 species
GACGAACGCUGGCGGCGUGCCUAACACAUGCAAGUCAACGAGAAAAGGGUAGCAAUAUCCUGAGUAAAGUGGCGCACGGGUGAGUAACACGUAGGUAAUCUGCCAUCAGGGACGGGACAACCACGACGAAAGCGUAGCUAAUACCCGAUGAAUCAGCGAUGCCGCAUGGCAUUGCUAGUUAAAUACCGCAAGGUGCCCGAUGAUGAACCUGCGUCCAUUUAGGAGUUGGUGAGGUAACGGCUCACCAAGCCGACGAUGGGUAGCUGGUCUGAGAGGAUGAUCAGCCACACUGGAACUGAGACACGGUCCAGACUCCUA